CACCCCUGCCCUGCCUUCUCUCCCAGGAUUCCAAACUCAUACGCUCCAGGGAUUGAAAAGCAGUAGCUCUGCCAACUGGGGCUCCUCUCUGGGUCCCUGCUCUUUCUGAUCAAUUAUCUGCACACCCUGCCCACUGCCAGGGGCUUUUAGGUGCUGUAGACACUGCCCAUGGUCCACUUCAUACUAAAAUCCCUUUACCCUGCCUGGGUCUCCUCCCUCACUCUCCUCCUGAUUUCCUGUUCCAUUUUCACCCAAGCUCCAGCUCUUCCUGGAGAUGCCUCCCUCCAGAGCAACAGCUUCUCAACAGGCAAUGUAGGGAUGGAAGAGUCUUCAUCUUAAACACAAGC
rnacentral:lncRNA from 1 species